CAGUCGAACGAAGCACUUUAUUUGAUUUCCUUCGGGACUGAUUAUUUUGUGCCUGAAUGGCGGACGGGUGAGUAACGCGUGGGUAACCUGCCUUGUACAGGGGGAUAACAGUUGGAAACGGCUGCUAAUACCGCAUAAGCGCACAGCAUCGCAUGAUGCAGUGUGAAAAACUCCGGUGGUAUAAGAUGGACCCGCGUUGGAUUAGCUAGUUGGUGAGGUAACGGCCCACCAAGGCGACGAUCCAUAGCCGACCUGAGAGGGUGACCGGCCACAUUGGGACUGAGACACGGCCCAAACUCCUACGGGAGGCAGCAGUGGGGAAUAUUGCACAAUGGGCGAAAGCCUGAUGCAGCGACGCCGCGUGAGCGAAGAAGUAUUUCGGUAUGUAAAGCUCUAUCAGCAGGGAAGAUAAUGACGGUACCUGACUAAGAAGCACCGGCUAAAUACGUGCCAGCAGCCGCGGUAAUACGUAUGGUGCAAGCGUUAUCCGGAUUUACUGGGUGUAAAGGGAGCGCAGGCGGUGCGGCAAGUCUGAUGUGAAAGCCCGGGGCUCAACCCCGGUACUGCAUUGGAAACUGUCGUACUAGAGUGUCGGAGGGGUAAGCGGAAUUCCUAGUGUAGCGGUGAAAUGCGUAGAUAUUAGGAGGAACACCAGUGGCGAAGGCGGCUUACUGGACGAUAACUGACGCUGAGGCUCGAAAGCGUGGGGAGCAAACAGGAUUAGAUACCCUGGUAGUCCACGCCGUANACGAUGAAUACUAGGUGUUGGGAAGNAUUGCUUCUCGG
rnacentral:rRNA from 1 species